UUUCGCUUUACGCGCCUCGCGCGCCCCGUAGCUCGCGCAGCAGCUGCAGCUGGGCACGGCAGUCCCCUCUGCUUACGAUGGAGAUGCGUUACGACUACCCCAUCGUAAGUCGAAAAAGAUCGUAAGUCCAAGAUGGCCCAGCCUACCCAGGAGUCUUAAAGAACGGUGAUAAUUUAGCAAAACAGAGCAAUUUACAAUACCGUACUGUAUAAACGAUAUAAUGUAUGUAUUUAUUAAUUACAAUACCGUAUUGCACCGUAGAAUGUCAAGUAAAAAAACAACAAGGUAAAUUCUUAGCCUACCUGUAUGAACUGCAAUUUAAUAGAAAGUUUUUUCAGGAAACAAUCCCAUCUGCUGUAGAAACUUUUAACAUGCAUUGAAUCGUGGUAACCCUAAAAUGAAAUCGCUAAAGCUACGUAUCGUACAUGCAUUGAACGUAUCGUAGCGUAUCAUAUUGUACUGUAGUCACCAAGAUUCUGAAACACAAAAACACAGAAAAAAAUACACGCGCUAACACCGUCCACCGCUGGUGAGAGUGAGGAGGCAUCACACAAGGCGGGGGAUGCCGUACACUCCGGCAGCAAUUUUGUCGCAUCGUAAGAUCAAAAUAUCGUAAGUCGGACUAUCGUAACUCGGGGACUAUCUGUACUUGUGUUUUUAAAUCCUUUAUAUUAAGUUCACUUGCUUGCUUGCGUGCUUGCUUACGACCGUGCAAACCUUUCGGUCGUUUUUAAACCCACUUCCCGUGAUCCAAUCGAGCUGACAUUUUCCACACAGACUCGUUGUGCGAGAUAAUUAUUGUUCGUGAAAACAUUUUUCAAAAAUGUUACACUGUUUAGGGAAAACAAUUUAAAUAUUUAAUUACCAAUUGCUUAAUACUGGCAGACAAUCAUCUGACCCAUAGGUGGCAGCCAUCUCAAGGCAGAGGACGAGAGGACUCUAGCCGCCACGCAUAUAAAGGAUUUAGAGUGAAAAACUUUGUUUUUACGGGUUAUACUUAUUUUGGUGUCUAUCCGUACACAAUGUCUCCUAAGAAAGUUGGUGGUAGCGAGAAGCCGAAAAGGAAAGUUGUGAGAACCACGAUAGAAUUAAGAAAAGAGAUCAUUGCAAAGGCAGAGCGAGGUGUACGUGUGACCCAGAUCUCCAAACAGUACGGUAUGCCGAAAUCGACGAUUUGCACGAUGCUGAAAAAUAAAGAAGCCAUCAAAGAGGCUAAUGUGGCAAAAGGAGUGUCAUCUCUAUCCAAGCAAAGAACGAAGGCGAUCGAGGAGGUUGAGAAAGUGCUGUUGAUGUGGAUCAACGAAAAGGAGUUGGCGGGCGAUAGCAUUUCAGAGGCUGUGAUAUGUGAGAAGGCCAAACAGUUGCAUUCCGACAUCCUCCAAAACACCCCAGGAACGAGUGACGAUGCGGGUCCUGGUGAAAUGUUCAAGGCUAGCCGAGGAUGGUUUGAUAAUUUUAAAAAGAGAAGUGGCAUACAGAGCGUCGUUAGGCACGUCGGGGAGGGUGUCUGUGCCCGUAGAGAAGGUGGCAAGAAUUUUGUUGGGGAAUUUCAAGAGUUUGUCGUGAAGGCCGAGGGCUUUCUUCCUCCUCAACACCUUCCACUCAAGUCAUUGGCUCUCCUCACUACAGGAACUCGCGCGGUCGAAAAGGGACCGUUUUCCGACGCCGACGCCAACGCGGUGCAAGCGCUGAACCGCCGAAAAAUCCCUCCCCCGGCCAGCCACGUGCUCAGCCCCCCCCCUCCCCCA